rnacentral:rRNA from 1 species
UACAGAGGGGGCAAGCGUUGUUCGGAAUUACUGGGCGUAAAGGGCGCGUAGGCGGCCUGUUAAGUCGAACGUGAAAUCCCCGGGCUCAACCCGGGAACUGCGUCCGAUACUGGCAGGCUUGAAUUCGGGAGAGGGAUGCGGAAUUCCAGGUGUAGCGGUGAAAUGCGUAGAUAUCUGGAGGAACACCGGUGGCGAAGGCGGCAUCCUGGACCGGUAUUGACGCUGAGGCGCGAAAGCCAGGGGAGCAAACAGG